AGUCGCGGGCCGGCGGAGGACCGAGCGCCGGCGGUCGCCUCACAGCACCAUCGCGGCGGCGGCGGCGGCGGCGGCGGCUUUGUGGGUCGCAGGCUCCGCUCCGCUCCCCCGGCCGUCGCGCCGCGGCCCUUUCAUCUGCUCCACGUGAGGGGUUAUCCCCGCCCCCGCAGCGUCGUGACCCGCUCUCCCCUCCCUCCCCGCGCUCGGUCGCGGCCACCUCUGAGGGGAGCGAGUAGGCGGGGCGGGCGCGCCUGCGGCGAGAGGCGGGGCCCCGGGGCCUCGCCCGCCCCGCCCAAUCGACCGAGUCCCGCCCCGACUCGGUCUUAGCCACGCCCCUCCGCCCUUGCUCCGCCCAGGUCGUCUUUUUCGGUCACGCCCCUUUCUCUUAACCACGCCCUCUGGUCUGUGCUCCGCCCUCCUCGGCGGACAUUUCUCCCAGCAGUUACUGGAGCAUCGGGAGAGUGAAGUCCUCUACCUGUUCCCAGGCGGUUCGCCCGCUUGGCGCGCCCUGCUUUGGUGCGGCAGUUAGAGUCACUGGGUCGUCAAAGGCCUCGUCCUUCAUCCGCAGCUCCGGCGCUGCUGACCACCUGCACUCUGUGCUCGCGCCCUACCACUUCUAUGGACCGCGAAAGGCCCUGGGCGGUCAGAGGCGGUUUGCAACCCGCCGGGACACGUCCAGUUCUUACCCCUGGAGACAGUCUCUUAACACGCCCUUCAAAAGAAGUUCUGAAACGUCUCACCAUGUGUAGAAGGGCGGAAGAGUCAACAGGCUUAGUGCACAGACUACUGGCUGCCAAACAUACCAAAGACACGUGCUCCGAGUCCAGACGUUCCCAGUCACCCAGAAGAUAAACUUUUAAUUCCCUUCCCCUUUUUGGAACAGGCUUUAUCCUUCCUCGGCAAAUCUAUGAAACUCACACCCCUCCUUUAAAAGCCACAUUCAAUUUCUGCUUCCUCAGUCGUCUUCCCUCCCUGACCUGAAUGGCUUUGUUUAAAUAUUUGCAAAUAUUUGGUUAGGGUGAUCUGCUUCUACUUGCUACCACACCCAAAAUAUUAAGACAAAAAGAAAAGUCAAGAGUUUCCUUGAAUAAUCAACUCAUCGAGGUUACAAUUUAAA